GUGAACUGCGAAUGGCUCAUUAAAUCAGUUAUCGUUUAUUUGAUAGUACCUUACUACAUGGAUACCUGUGGUAAUUCUAGAGCUAAUACAUGCUAAAAACCCCGACUUCAGGAAGGGGUGUAUUUAUUAGAUAAAAAACCAACGCCCUUCGGGGCUCCUUGGUGAAUCAUAAUAACUUAACGAAUCGCAUGGCCUUGCGCCGGCGAUGGUUCAUUCAAAUUUCUGCCCUAUCAACUUUCGAUGGUAGGAUAGUGGCCUACCAUGGUGGCAACGGGUAACGGGGAAUUAGGGUUCGAUUCCGGAGAGGGAGCCUGAGAAACGGCUACCACAUCCAAGGAAGGCAGCAGGCGCGCAAAUUACCCAAUCCCGAUACGGGGAGGUAGUGACAAUAAAUACUGAUACGGGGCUCUUUUGGGUCUCGUAAUUGGAAUGAGAACAAUUUAAAUCCCUUAACGAGGAACAAUUGGAGGGCAAGUCUGGUGCCAGCAGCCGCGGUAAUUCCAGCUCCAAUAGCGUAUAUUAAAGUUGUUGCAGUUAAAAAGCUCGUAGUUGAACCUUGGGCCUGGCUGGCCGGUCCGCCUCACCGCGAGUACUGGUCCGGCUGGGCCUUUCCUUCUGGGGAACCUCAUGGCCUUCACUGGCUGUGGGGGGAACCAGGACUUUUACUGUGAAAAAAUUAGAGUGUUCAAAGCAGGCCUUUGCUCGAAUACAUUAGCAUGGAAUAAUAGAAUAGGACGUGCGGUUCUAUUUUGUUGGUUUCUAGGACCGCCGUAAUGAUUAAUAGGGAUAGUCGGGGGCGUCAGUAUUCAGCUGUCAGAGGUGAAAUUCUUGGAUUUGCUGAAGACUAACUACUGCGAAAGCAUUCGCCAAGGAUGUUUUCAUUAAUCAGGGAACGAAAGUUAGGGGAUCGAAGACGAUCAGAUACCGUCGUAGUCUUAACCAUAAACUAUGCCGACUAGGGAUCGGACGGGAUUCUAUAAUGACCCGUUCGGCACCUUACGAGAAAUCAAAGUUU
rnacentral:rRNA from 1 species